AGACUGAGACAGUGUUCCAUUCACUCUGUGUGUGGCAUGUGAGUAAGUUGCAAGUUUGGCAAGUUUUAGCUCUUCAGCAUUUUUGCUGAUCUUUUAAAAAUGUUUCUGUACAGAGUAUAUAUAUAUACAUAAAUUACAGAGUGUAUAUAUAUAAAAAUCGCGAUAAAACCGCUCCUCAUAGACAUAUAACACAUGCUUGAUAAUAACGUCGAUAGAACUCAUUCCACCAGCGUUCUGACCGGAAAUAUGAAAAGCCAAUGAUAAUGAGAAUAGCGCCGCGCUGAACCAAUCAUGUGGCUGGAACACAGACACGUCAGGUUAGGUUGACGCACAGAGCGCAGGCGUAACAGAGGAUUAGCGCAUGUGCUAAUGUUUUGGCUACUGCCGAGAAUCAGAGCGACUCACACUGCCUCCGCCGCGCUGUCGCUCUGCCCUCCGUUUUCAUCAAGUAUCUAACCCCACAGUUAGUUUUGUGGUUUGGUCAUUUAAAGUACGUUGCGGGGCCUUGGCCGGAGACGACGAAUCCGAGCAGGCUGUCGCUUCAGAGACGACAGGACAGGAAGUGAGGAGGGGCGGAGGGCUGCGAUGUAGGAAGGAGUGGGAGGCAAAGUAGGAAACGAGCAGACGGGUGCUUCGUUAAUGAGUUGUGCCAGCUGUCAUCCAUCCUAUAUGGGCCCGCGUGGGGAAAUCAAAACUUCUGGAGACUGAAGAGCAAGUCAUGCUGCACAUCUCUCAUCUGAUGAGCUCAUGCAGAAAUAACGGAUCAUGAGUACUGUUUGUCGAGACUGUAACUGGACCUUAUGUUAUGUCGUGUAUAACGAUGAAUAGAGAAGAACUCUUUCUUUAUGCACAUUUAUACUGUAAUAUUAAAACUUUACUGUGUGGUUGCUACAUUUCACUCAUUUUUUAUUGGGGAACUGCUAAAACAGGCAAGUAGGACACACGCUCAACACACUUCUGACUUAAAUCAUUUUUCUUUUUGAUGCAUCAGGGAAUAUCCCUGCACUCGUGUGCUUAAGUGUAGGUGUUGCCAUUGUUUCCAAAUUACUUUGCAUAAAUAUAGUUUGUAGCCUACAGUAUAACAGUUCAGCAGAUGGAUUUGUAAGGUAGUUGAGCAUCUGAAAUCAGGCUAAAAUAAAAUAUCUACUGUCAUAAAAUCAUGUGGUCGGUAUGCUUUGCUUUCAGACCACAAACAUGUCAAACACACACCAGAGUUCACUUGAAACCAUAGCAAGACCCUUCCUUUUCAGACGGGUGCUCAGUCUGCACCAGAUUUCAACUAACAUCAUCUGAAUGAACUAAACAAGCAAACUCGCAGAGCGUGAAUUGAAGCAAAUAGGUGUGAAAGCAUUUUUUGGUUUGUUUGUUUUUUACCAGACCUUUUCUGGAACAGGCACUUACAAACAACCCAUUUGGAGGAAAGGCCACAGGACACACAACAAGUGUGUCUAAUAGGCUAUAACCUCGAAUAGUGAAAAUGUCCUUCACUAACUCUUUGAGCCUCUGCCUCAGUCUCUGCCGCUUCAGGUGAUGGCCUCAGUUAAAUGCUUGAAAAUGUUAACGCACUACAGCUGGAAACCCCCCACUCCUCCCUCCUUCCUUCCUUGCUUACGUAUCACCUUGAAUCUUUAGCUAAGUUGGAAAACAGAGAGGAUGGAAAAAAGAGGGACCAUGCAGAGAGAAAGAGAGGAAAAAAACAAUGGACCCUGAGGCAGGAUGUUAAUGCUGUAACCUUUAGUGAUUAGACAGUCCUUUUAAGAGAGGGAGCUACAUGUGAUUUACAGGACCCUUUUAUUCAGACUCAAUCCACUGCAAUAGAAAGUUAGCUUACCAGUCAGCUUUUUACCCACUCUAUACCUGUCAUCAUAUCAUGACAAGACAUAAAAAGCUCACCUAUCUAGCUCACUUCUUUGGCUAA